GCCCGGCUAGCUCAAUCGGUAGAGCGUGAGACUCUUAAGGAGUUCACUCCACAGUCUUCCUGCGGAGGAGUCUGUAAAUCUCAAGGUUGUGGGUUCGACCCCCACGUCGGGCU